rnacentral:tRNA from 1 species
GACCCCGUAGCUCAGUUGGAAGAGCAUUGGGCUGGUAUUCCAAAGGUCGUAGGUUCGAAUCCCACCGUGGCCG